UACGUAGGGGGCAAGCGUUGUCCGGAUUUAUUGGGCGUAAAGAGCGUGUAGGCGGCUAGGUAGGUCCGUUGUGAAAACUCGAGGCUCAACCUCGAGACGCCGGUGGAAACCAUCUAGCUAGAGUCCGGAGAGGAGAGUGGAAUUCCUGGUGUAGCGGUGAAAUGCGCAGAUAUCAGGAGGAACACCGAUGGCGAAGGCAGGUCUCUGGGCCACUACUGACGCUGAGAAGCGAAAGCAUGGGGAGCGAACAGG
rnacentral:rRNA from 1 species